GAUCCUCGCCCUUGAACUAGCGGAACAUCCUCCGUCUCCCACCACCCGAGCGAUUUCCUCUCCCUCGCGUCCCACGCCAUGCCCUGAUGUCGUUCUUCCUCCUGACCGCGACGCUCGCCGCGAUCCCAUCCUCCCAGCCUUUCUUCUGCAUAAUUUCUUUUAUAUUAUAAUUUGUGUUCACGCUUAGGUAAGUAAUGCCACACAAUUUUUGUUUACUCCUAUUUUUGUUGCAGAUUGUCCAGACUGUAUAAUUUUUUAUAUCAUCAUUGUUGUGAUUCUUUCCUGUUUAGUCCUAGGUUAUGAUGAACAAGUUAUCAUGACUGCAACACUUGUGUUCAAAUGAGUUAGGCACUUCUCAUGCUAAUUCAAAUCUCAUACAUGAAUUUUUCAUGUUUUGUUAGUGCUUCAGGGUUCUACCUUCUUAAUGAAACUAUGAUAUAGAAUUAGAAUAGGGCACCCUAAGAAUUUUGACAUCACUAAACUCAUACAACAGAGUGUGCACGGCAACACUUGUUAAGUGGCAACAACAAAGCAAUGCAAAUGCACAUUUAAUCUUGACUUACAAGUGCUGGUAAACGAAUACCAUUUUUGUGGUAGGAAUGAGCCUUCUAUAUUUAUCGAGUUAUCUAAUAAACAUAUGAGGAGAGGCAAGAAAUUGACAGAUGACAACUCCACUUCAUUAAUUAUAUUUACCCAUCAUAUCCAAUAUUUCUGACAAAAGAUAUCUAAUAUCACUGACUUCUCUAGGUAGUGAGUGCCUUUAUGUUUGCAUGCCACUAUACAUAUUUCUUUGUUGGGAUCUGGUUCUUAUUCUGCUUGUGACUCAGUUCACUAUUUGUGAAUCUUGCUUUUGUCAGUUGCAAAUCAGCUUGUACUUGUAGCAGCAACUGGACAGGGUCCUGCAAUGCUCGCUCCAUGGGGUGCAGGCUCAUCGUCUACCAUUACUGCCUCUCCGUGCUGGUUCCUACCAAUCUAAAACAGCUCAGGGGUGUUUGGAUUCAGCCACUAAAAUUUAGUUGAGGCCGAGGCCCUCUUUGAGCUCUACAAGAUCAGUUGUUCUAUCAUCGACGACGACCUAUCAACCAGGUGCAUUCAAUAAAAUUCCUCUUCGAUUCCUGUAUCUGUCGUGCAUAUUCUUGUCAUUCAUGACGUGAUUUGGGGUUGAUUUGAACAUCUAUUUUUUUGAAUGAAACAUUCCUUGCACUUGGAAGAUGUGUUUUUUUGUUGCUUUAGGCCUCGGACAAUUUCUUUGGAUUUAAAUAUGGAGGAAAUGGUUACAAAAGACCUGGGAUAGUGACACUCUGUCAUCCUAGGCUAAUGAGAUUGAGCACCUGGUAAUUCCAGCAACAGAUUACCUCUUUGAACCUUCACUCUAGGAUAUUUCUCAAGCCAUAGAUUUCAUCCAUAGGAAUGCAUCACAAGGUGGUACCACAUUACCCAUGAUCUACGUGCUCGGAGACUCCCUGGCGCCUGUCGAGAACAACAAUAACCUGGUGACACUGCUCAAGGCCAACUUCCUACGAAACAACAUCGACUACCUAGGGCACAAGGCCAUCGGCUGCUUCAGCAAUGGCAAGAACUCCAUCGACUUCCUCGGAAGAAGGUAGGGGAAAAGCAGGGAAGUAGGUCGUACCACGGUGCCUCGUGCUAUCGCCAACGAGGGAGCUCGCUCAACAACCACAGGGAGACCACAUCGAGCUGCACCAGAAGCGCCAUGGUAAGCACUUGGACCACGAGGUGCGCAAGCACGAGGCGCGCGAGGUGCAUAGGCCUCGAAGGACACUCACAAUGUGUAGUUCUGAUCUGAUAAGUUUACGCACUUUUGGUUUUGCUGUUCAUGUGCGCCCAUUGUUGAUGAUCACGUGUCUUGUGCUGUUGUAGUUGAUUGGUACUAAGGGCAAGAGGUUUGUCAAGAAACGCUAUGCUGAGAAGGCGCAGAUGAAGAAGAAAUAAGUGCUUGUUUGCUGCUCCUGUUUAUGUGUUGAUAUUUGUGAGCCAAUAACUUUUAACCAUGACUGCUUUACUGGUGUAUCAUACCCUGAGUAGCGGUUGUGAGCAUGAAAAAUUGCUUACGCCCCAUAGAGGUUAUGACUCAGCUUGUCAGCCAUCCCCAACUAAGUUGUGUUCUUCUGAACCAUGCUACUUUGUUCUUUACUGCAACCUGCAUUCGUUGAUGCGAACAAACUAAUUAUGUAUUCCUCUGAUCAUUACUUAGAUGAGGAACAAUCUCUUUGUAUUAUGUGGUCUGACUAUCAUGGUGGAAUUUGUUUAAUCUGUUUAUGUGAUUUGCAAAAGAAAAUGCAAUGAGUAUGCGCCUUUGUGAAAUAAUAAAGUUAACUAUGCAUUAA